AUGGAGUUUCCCAGAUUUGAUGGCUCCAAUCCACAAGAGUGGUUAAGGCUCACAGAGAAGUACUUUGCAAUGGUGUUUGUACCGGAAAGUGCAAAGUUUGACUAUGCUCAGAUGUAUAUCACUGGGAGAGCUGACACUUGGUUGAGGAACUCUGGCAUACUCCAAGAAAACCCCACCUGGACAGAAUUCUGCAAAGUACUGUGCAAACGAUUUGCUAAUAGCAGCUCUUAUGAAGCAGUAGCUGAUUUCAACUCAUUCAAACAAGGGGCCAACAAAAUGGCAUGCUACAAGAAAGAAAACCCUGAAGUAAAAGAGCAGUAUUAUGUCAAGUGCUACAUCAAUGGUUUAAGAGAAGAAAUUAAACACUACCUCAAGCCAUUCAAGCCAGCCACUCUCUAUGAUGCAAUAGAGACUGCCAGAGACAUGGAACAGGGAGCAAAUGCUUCUAACCAGUCCAAAAAAUACCAGCAAAUAGGGUACUAUCAAAAGACCACUGCCACAAAUACCUUACCCACUAAACCAAAAUCAGUCGACUAUGCUAACACCAGAAUAGCAGAUAGGCAGAGUACUAGGCCAGAAGUAAAUACAGAGAACCUGGGCAGUGCAGGUACUGUGGACAAAAGUGGUUUCUUGGACACAAAUGUGCACAAUACAAAACUCUCAAUCUGA
rnacentral:rRNA from 1 species